CUCCAGCCUGGGCGACAGAGCAAGACUCCGUCUCAAAAAAAAAAAAGAACAAAGCCAACAUGAUGAGGAUGGCAGGACAGAAAGACAGAGAGAGAGGCUAAUCCUUAUUGAAGUCAGUCAUUGACUGAGUUACCCAUGGAUACUGCCUCCAGACUUGCUUUGAUGCCUUAUUGCCUAAACUACAUUCAGGUGGGUUUACUCAUACCAUAGCCAAAGCAUCUUAGUGAUAUAUAUAUAUAUGCUUGUCUUUUCCUAAAUCUCUAACAAGGGUAAGGAAGCCUUUUAGGUCAGUGGUUCUCAAAGUGUGGUCCCUGGACCAGCAGUAUUGACAUCACCUGGAAACUUAUUAGAAAUGCAUAUUCUUAGGCCCCAUCCAGUUCUCGUUAAUCCGAAAGGAGGAUUGGGUGCAGCAGCAGUCGUGUUUUCACAAGCAUUCCAGGUCACUGUGGUGCAUGCUAUAGUUCGCCAACCUCUGCUUUAUAUACUACUCUGUUGUCACACUGACGUUAGAACUGACCACUGGGAGUGAGGACACCACUCAUUAUUCCUUCCAACUCACCUUUUUCUAUCAUUGCUUCAUUUGAUUCUGCUAUCCCUAAAACAAACAAAAGAAAAAAAAAAAAAAAAAAAAAAAACAAGAAAAAGAAAAAAAAAAGGGAGAGAAAGAGACAGAAAGGAUUUGAAAACUGUUGGCCAAAUAAACUUUUUGCUUUGAGUUUCAAUCUGCUGACUCUGGGUCAUCAGCUCUUUCCAAAUAAGACUUUGGGUGUCUGCAGAAACCUGUAGUAGCUAGAAUGUGGUGGACAUUUCCAAAAUAUUUAGAACACUAAUAAUCACUGUUAUCAAUAAUGCUCCAUAGGGAUCUCCCUUGAGCUAUUGGAAGUGAAGUUAGCAACGAACUUAGAGAGGUGUGCACUGCUUGGGGUGAGCAAAGAUAAUUUGGAGGGGCAGAGGAGCCCUGAGAAUAAUGUUAGAAAAAAAAAGGAAUGAAAAACUUGCUGCAAAAAGGAGAAAAGAAGGAAAGAAAGGAAAGAAAAAGAAAAUGAUUCUCAUCAGGGAAGCUGGUAAAGAUGGAUUUGUUUUCCAGGACUCAAUACAUUUAGACAAAGGAGCCCAGAGAGGAGAUCCAGGUUUGGGGGUGGUUUGAGCAAGGUGUCCAGGAGGGAAGGUAGGGCCAUGUCUGGACACCUGGGCAGCCAUGAAUAACGGAGAGAACAGGCCGUGGGAAUAAUGCUGUGCGGGAGGAAGAAUGCCUCCACAGGAUUGGACUCUGGCACCACCCCCUACUAACUUUGGUCUUAGGCAGCUUCCCGAGCUUCUCUAAGCCUCAGUUUCCUCAACGGCCAAUGGGCUCAGUGAUUCUUAUCUCACAGCUUGUUGGAAGGUUUACAUAAAUCAACCUACUAUGAUCUGAACUGCAUACCCCCCAAAUUAGUAUGUUGACACACUAACCCCCAGUGUGACAAAUUUGGAGAUAAGACUCUCAGGAGGUAAUUAAGGCUAGAUGAGGUCAUGGGAGAGGAGCCCCCAUGAUAGGAUUGGUGGCUUUAUAAGAAGAUGGAAAAACAGAGAGAGAAAGAGAGAGAGAGUUAUCUCUCUUUACCAUACAAGGACACCACAAGAAGGCAGCAGUCUACAAGCCAGGAAAAGGGCCUUCACCAGAACCGGAAUCAACCAGCACCUUGAUAUUGAACUUCCAGCCUCCAGAACUGUGAGAAAAUAAAUGCGUGUUGUUUAAACCACCCAGACUGUGGUAUUCUGUUUUGGCAACCUGAGCUGACUAAUACACAAGGUAUAUUAAGGACCUUGCUUAGUGCUUGGCUCAUUCUAAAUGCUCAAUAAAUAAAUAAGAUUCAUAACAAUGAAUACAUUAAUAAGCAAUAAGUUAGGAAAAUGAGAUUGCCAAGGUCUUUGAAUGGCUAAACUGAGUAUGUAAUUUCUGGACCAUGGGGAGUUUCUGAACAGGAAACAAAAAGAGGAAGAAUAUGUGUGCAUAGCUCUGAGGUCUGUGACAACAGGGCAUUACAUAAGGCAGGAUUCAGCAAACGUGAGGGUGCGUCAGGAUCACUUGGAGGGCUUGCGAAAAUAUAGGUUGCUGCUGCCUCUACUUUCUCUUUCACAUUCAGCAGGUCUGGGAUGGGGUUCAAGAAUCUGCAUUUCAGCUUGAGAAGAUGGAGACAAUCUGCAAAGCAAAAACAAAACCCUAAAAACAGCACUUGGGCUAGUAGCUGAAACAGGCUUAUACAUUUGUAAUAAGUGGGCUAAGGAGGAGGCAGGACAGCAUGGAGUGGUUGACUGACUCUUAGAUGGCCUCAAGGAUCCUCAUCUCCUGCCUAGAGAUAGAAGCAGAUAAUGCAUGUGUCAUCUACAUCUGGCAAAAGCCAAAGGUUUGGAAGAUGGACAAAGGAAUCCAGGUGAAAAGGAGCCCAUGAUUGAAGUGCAUUACCAGGUGCACCAGUUCAAAUGCAAUCAGGAGGAACAAGGGGAAGAGGGAGAAGUCUAGAGCAGGACUUCUCAAACUGACUAUUCAAUUCACCUGGAGAUCUUAGUGCAAUGCAGACUCUGAUGCAGUAGGUCCUGGCGGGAACUUGAUAUUCUGCAUUUUGACCAAGCUCCAAAGUGAAUGUCAGUGCUGUUGUCCUUGGUCCACACAGGGAGGAGCAAGGAUCUGAGGCUGGGAGAGCAAACGUCAAGUUCAGAAGAAAGACUGGAAUUUUGGGGACAAAACCGAAAUAUGGCUAAAGGAAACCAUUAUUGUUCUGAUAGGAUAUCAGCUGGGAGCUACUGAGGACCUCCUCACUACCCUCCCUUGGAAGAGUUUGUCUGCAAUGGAGCCAACACAGUGGAAAGCAGAGCUGAGAAAUGAACAAACAACUCCCGAUGCAUCAUUUGAGCAGCUGGAUUUAGCCACGCCUGAAGCUAUUAUAUCCUUGAACUUUUCAAUCAUCUGCAGAAGAUAAACCAUCAGCUUACAUUAUCAUGGUGAACUUCAACAGAACUGCCUUAGGGUGAAGAUCUUGGCGACCACAAGGAAUUUUCUUGUGGGCAAAAUGUGAGGAAGAGCUGAGAAAGAAAAGGAACUUUUCAUCUGAGGAAUGCCAGUCCAUUAAAAAACCCGGUCCAGAGAGGCAUUGAAAUGUGACAGAAGGCUCAUAUCACCCGCCCUCCUUGAGCUAAGUAAUCUGCCUGCUACACGGACUCUAGACUGAGUGUCCUCACCAAGAAGCUGUAAAUUAACCUAACAAUGCCUCACACUGGACACCAUGACCCAUACCCUACAGUUCAACAAUAUAAUGCCAAUUACUCAUCAAUGUUAUUUCUGCAAACCAGUGAGAAUUCCUGAGGAACAACCUUUGUAAUCGCUCCCUCUUUAAAUUUGUCCUUUUUUCUUUAAAAACACGAGCCUCUUCUUUAUUCUCCAGAGCAUUUCUGAGCAUUUCCCAGACUGCAGUCCUCAACCUUGUCCCAAAUAAAUUCAACUGUAUUAAUUUUGCCUCCGUUUCUUUCUUUAGGUAGACAGGGUUGAACCCAAUCUCUCUCCCCUACUGCAAAACACUGUCAUAGCAGUCACCUGAAUAAAGUGUGCCUUCUCGCCUUUCACGAGUGUCAGAAUAGUUUUUCCUUAACAAUGAUCAGACCACACAGUGGUGAGUCUAAUAUGCAGGAGAGGUGCCUGAUAUACUAGCCUGAGACCUAUUUCCAUAGGAAAUAGUGGACUCUGAGUAAUAAUUAAAGGUUUUUUUUUUUUUUUUUCCAAGCAUUUACUUUGCAACCAGACACUUUUCUAGGCUCUUUAUCCUAUUAGCUUAUUUAGUACCAUUUUCAGAAAAGGAAGGGAAUCCAGGCACCAAGAGUUUAAGUUAUCUAACGCAAGAUCACUUAGCGAGUAACUGCUGGAGCUUGAAUCUCUACCCUGGUGAACAGCUUCACAGCCUGUUGUUUAACCCAUUACACUUAAUAGACACAGAACAACGUAACAGCAUACAGGACACCCUGGUCCAGUCCCCUACCACCCACAGGAUCCAGGGCAAGGAUGGCAAUCUCUGUGGCCUGGGUUCAUUCAUCUGUACAAUGCAAAUGAGCAGAUGUCGGAAUUUUACAAGCACAAACAUUUUGAAACAAGUCACAGAACAUACUCGCUUCGGUGCCUGACUCUGAAUAAACCCACACUCUAUUUUAUGUGUUGUUCUUAUUAUCAUUAUUACCAAUCACUUUUAAGUGUUUUCUUUUACCUGAAAUGGUGCUCAUUGAAUUGAAUGUAACUUAUUGGUACAAAGCAUCACAAUGAACUCUUUCAAGUUUUAAUUUUCGUCACCUUUGCCUCCAGAGCAGCGCACACAUAUACGAAGUGCUGUUAAGGAUUAGCCACGGAGCAUGCAACGACUCUGUCUCCUUCCUGUGAAAUCCAAAUUGAGUGAGCUGAGACGCCCCAGGGACAGAAGAGAGAUGUUUGGAGCAAGCAAUCAGGAAGGAAAGGUCACAAGCAAAUGGAAACCCUACCAGCACAAGGCACAAGGAUAGACUGAAACCCAUGUUCUUGGUGAUGAGGUUGGGCCUUUGUUCCAGAUCUGAACACACACACCUGGCCCAGCUCCUGCAUCACAUCAGCAAGGUGAGUCAGCAGGAAACCCAGGUGGCUUUGCUUUUGACUGGAAUGACUGGGCAGCCCCAGAUGUGUCUGUGAGGAUGUUUCCGGAGAUUGGCUUGUGAGUUGGUGGACUUAGUAGGGAAUAUCCACCCUCAAAGUGGCUGAACACCAUCCAAUCAGCUGUGGAUCCAGAUGGAACAAAAAGGAGGAUGAAAAAGAGAAUCCUCACCCUCUUUCUGCCAAGCCUGGAAGCCCUUCUCCUGCUCUUGAACAUCAGCAUUCCAGACUGUGGAAUUGAUGUUAGACCACAAGCAAAUUUGAGUGAUUUUCUUAUUUGAGUUCAAAGUGGGUCACAAAGAAGCAGAGACAACUUGCAACAUCAACAAUGCCUUUGCUCCAGGAUCUGCUAGUGAACAUGCAGUGCAGUGGUAGUUCAAGAAGUUUUGUGAAGGAAACAAGAAGCUUGAAGAUGAGGAGUGUAGUGCCCAACCAUUGGAUCUUGACAAUGGCCAACUGAGAGCAAUCAUCGAAGCUGAUCCUCUUACAACUACCCGGAAAGUUGCCGAAAAACUCAACAUCAACCAUUCUAUGGUUGUUCAGCAUUUGAAGCAAAGUGGAAAGUUGAAAAAGCUCAAUAAGUGGGUGCAUCAUAGGCUGAGUGAAAAUUUAAAAAAUCGUCAUUUUGAAAUGUCAUCUUCUCUUAUUCUACGCAACAACAAUGAAUCAUUUCUUGAUCAGAUUGUGAUGUGCCACGAAAAGUGGAUUUUCUACAACUGGUGAUGACCAGCUCAAUGGUUAGACCAAGAAGAAGAUUCAAAGCACUUCCCAAAGCCAAAUUGCACCAAAAUAAGGUCAUGGUCACUGUUUAGUGGUCUCCUGCCAGUGUGGUCCACUGUAGCUUUCUGAAUCCCGUGAGACCAUAAUAUCUGAGAAGUAUGCUCUGCAAAUUGAUGGGAUGCACUGAAAACUGCAGUGCCUGCAGCUGGCAUUGAUCAACAGAAAGGGCCCAAUUCUUCUCCACGACAAUCCCCAACUGGACAUUGCACAAACCACCCUUCAAAAGUUGAACUAAUUGGGUUAUGAAGUUUUGCCUCAUCCGUUAUAUUCACCUGACCUCUCGCCAACCGACUACCACUUCUUCAAGCAUCUUGACAACUUUUUGCAGGGAAACAGCUUCUACAAUCAGCAGGAAACAGAAAAUGCUUUCCAAGAGUUCAUUGAAUCCCAAAACACAGAUUUUUAUGCUACAGGAAUAAACAAGUUUAUUUCUCCUUGGCAAAAAUAUGCUGAUUGUAAUGGUUCCUAUGUUGAUUAACAAAGAUGUGUUUGAGCCUGGUUAUAAUGAUUUAAAAUUCAUGACCUGAAACCGCAAUUAUAUUUGCACCAACCUAAUAGUUUAAGUAGAAGAUGGAAAUUUAUAAGGAUAUAGAGAUGUCUCUGAGAACUCAGGGGUGGAAACACACAUGGUUCUCAGGAAGGGACCAGAACUGGCACUUAGAAAGUCCAGAUUAUCUUUCCAUCACUUAUGUCUGCUUUGAUGUUUCUGCUUCAUUCUUUCCCUCUCCCUCUAGAAUAUUCUCUUCGGCUUCUUGGUGAAAAAUAUUCCCCCUCAUAGCUAUCAGGAACACACGGUGAAGAUCCAGGCAUGCCACAGGAACAACUCUCUCACUGGGUUCCACUUCCACAUCCCCAGGGAAGGGACUCUGCUUGGCCCAAUGUGAGUCAAGAGCCCACGGCAAAGCAGUCACCUAUAGCCACAGGAGAGGUCGCAUGUUAUCACAUGUCACCAAAUGCCUGCUGAACUAACGGGGUGUUGUUGUUAAGAGGAGAUUGUUGUGAACAGGGCAAACACUCUCAAAGUGUCUGCUGUAGGUGACUCUGGAGCAAGCAGAGAGUAAAGUCAUUCCCCUCACCAGCCAACCCUGCCCCUCACAGCCCACAUACCAAGGGUGGUCUGAGAACCUGGCAGAGAAAAUGGCACCGUGAGCAAGACAUGAAAAAUUCAUUGAUUGCCUGCCUGUCUGUGAGGGAAGCAAUGCCAAGCUUCAUUCAUGCUCAUCAUUAAUUCAAUCCCAGGCUGGACUCUUUGGCUCAGAGCUUUCGGUUUAAAACAAAUGAUCUUGGAUGUACAGUCGGCCUACGGUUGUCUGCAGGUGAUCUAUGUCGACGUUGGCUUCUCUCUGGCAAACCCUCCUUUCAAAGUUAUUGCCAGUUAACAGAUUCUACACAGCCCUAACUACCCCUUGGAGGACAUUUGGAGCUCCGGAUUUGCAGUUAGCACCUUUCUCUGCUUAAUUACAGCAUUAUGGAUAUCUCUGCACCCUCUGUUUACUUUGCCUGCUGAGAUGCAUGCUGAAAGCCAAGCACCACCUGCCUGGCUCCAGGGAAGGUUAGAGAGGCAGACCUUUCAUCAAGCAGAGAAUAAGCUGUUUACCCCCAGGGAGCAGUGACUGGGAGGAGCUGGGUGAGCACCAGGUGGGAAACUUGGCUCUCAGUUUCUUGCCUCUCCAGAGUGAAGUCUUUACCAAGGGGCCCUCUUUUGUUCUUAGAAUGAAAAUAAUAGCUCAUAUUAUCAAGUUCUUAUUAUGCAUCUAUCGCUUUACUUGGUGGCCAGCCUCCAAGAUGGCCCUCUGUCAUCCUUACCUUCUACUACUCAUGCCUUUGGGUGGUCCCUUCUCACAAUGAACAGGAGCUGACCUGUGUGACCAGAAGAACACUACAGAAGGAAUGGUAUGUGACUUCUGAGGCUAUGCCACAAAAGACAUUGAGGCAUCUGCCUUUGCUUCUUGGAUAGCUUGCUCUGGGGGAAGGCAGCCGCCAUGUUGUGAGGGCACUCAAGCAGUCUUCAGGAAAGGCCUGUGUGGGGAGAAACUGAUGCCUUUGGCCAACAUCCAGCACCAACUUGCCAGCCAUGUGUGUGAGUCACCUUGGAAAUGGAUGCUCAAGUCCUGAUUAGGCCUUCAAAUGAUCCCAGCCCCUAGCUUCCAAGUCUUCCGGCUGCAGCCCCAGAUAGUGGAGCAGAGCUAAGCCGCCCCAACUGUACUCCGUCUGAAUUAUCCAUGCAAACUGUGAGGUACAAUAAAUGAUUGCUCUGGUUUCAAGUCAUUAAGUUUUGGGGUGGUUUGUUACACAGUACAGUUGAUCUUUGUAUGACAUGGGUUUAAACUGUGCAGGUUUACUUACAUGCAGGUUUUUUUCAAUAAAAGUUACAUUGAGCAUGCCUGCCUCUCCUGCCUCCCCUUCCAGCUCCUCCACGUCUCCUGCCUCUGCC